rnacentral:rRNA from 1 species
UACGGAGGAUGCAAGCGUUAUCCGGAUUUAUUGGGUUUAAAGGGUGCGUAGGCGGGACAGUAAGUCAGUGGUGAAAUCUCCCGGCUUAACCGGGAAACUGCCAUUGAUACUGCUUUCCUUGAGUGCAUUUGAGGUGGGCGGAAUGUGUAAUGUAGCGGUGAAAUGCUUAGAUAUUACACAGAACACCUAUUGCGUAGGCAGCUCACUAAACUGUAACUGACGCUGAGGCACGAAAGCGUGGGGAGCGAACAGGAUUAGAUACCCCCGUA